AACGUAGGGGACAAGCGUUAUCCGGAUUUACUGGGCGUAAAGCGCCCGUAGGCGGCCUGACAAGUUGGACGUGAAAGCUCCUGGCUUAACUGGGAGAGGCCGUUCAAAACUGACAAGCUAGAGUCUGGAAGAGGAGCGUGGGAUUCCCGGUGUAGUGGUGGAAUGCGUAGAGAUCGGGAGGAACACCAGUGGCGAAAGCGACGCUCUGGUCCAAAACUGACGCUGAGGGGCGAAAGCGUGGGGAGCGAACGGG
rnacentral:rRNA from 1 species